rnacentral:rRNA from 1 species
GCAAGUUGAUGGGGUAUAGUUCUUCGGAAUUAGAGACCGGCGCACGGGUGCGUAACGCGUAUGCAAUCUACCUUUUACAGAGGGAUAGCCCAGAGAAAUUUGGAUUAAUACCUCAUAGUAUAAUGACUUGGCAUCAAGACAUUAUUAAAGUCACAACGGUAAAAGAUGAGCAUGCGUCCCAUUAGCUAGUUGGUAAGGUAACGGCUUACCAAGGCUACGAUGGGUAGGGGUCCUGAGAGGGAGAUCCCCCACACUGGUACUGAGACACGGACCAGACUCCUACGGGAGGCAGCAGUGAGGAAUAUUGGACAAUGGGCGCAAGCCUGAUCCAGCCAUGCCGCGUGCAGGAUGACGGUCCUAUGGAUUGUAAACUGCUUUUAUACGAGAAGAAACACUACUUCGUGAAGUAGCUUGAACGGUAUCGUAAGAAUAAGGAUCGGCUAA